AUGCCAUUUACUGACAGCAGUAACCAAAUUUUGCCUAGUGCAAAUGUCCCAUCAUAUCACAUUGUUUGUGAGCAACUACUGCGUCAGCUUCUUCUACUACUCCAAGACCAGAUUUUCUCAAUGAGCAAAAUGACUCUACUGCCCUUGUCUCUAAUUCUUAUCAACAAGGUGGUAAAGGAGGAGGACAUGGAAAUAAUAGGACUCAGCCUCGUUGUAGCCAUUGCAACCGUUUAA